rnacentral:lncRNA from 10 species
CCUCGAAGCAACCACUGAAGCCCUUCCAGCAGAGGAACCGCAGAACUCAAAAAUCCUAGCUGUAGGUUGGGUCCACACUACUAGGGAGACCUCCAGCCCAGAAAGCAGCUUGGCGAUAAGACGGAAGAAUGAAGGAGCUCCAGUUUUGAAGCAGGGUUGUUUUUUGUUUGUUUGUUUGUUUUUAUUUUUAUUUUUUUCCUCCCUUUAGAGUAGAGAGAUUAGGGCUGAGCAGCUUGGACAUUGGACCAGAUGGAAAGACUAGCUGACCUGGGUAUUAAUGCUGGAUAUAGCAACGUCCUUCUAUGUCCUUCUAAAUUUUCUUCAUGAGUAGUGAUAAGUUAUGCUGAGAAAAAUUCUUGAACCUACAGUUAUACAACAUUGUUCUUGCCGCCUUUCAAAAAUGGACAAUGUCUCCCAUAUGGAAUAUCUACUGAUGAUCUUGCAAGAAGGUGAAUAAAAAAUCCAAUGAAGACAUAAAACGAGUUUCAUUUAAAAAAUCUGGUAAAAUGGAAGUUUGCUUUACACAAACAGUAAAGAAGCCUUGGAAGAUAAUGUUGACUUCCCAUGCUCAAAAGUACUCUGACUCAGGAAGAUAGCUCCAGCCCUUCAAAGGAAGGGCUGUCUGCAAUAAAUGCCCAUGGAGACCUCUCAGCAAUUCCAUAAGAUAAGUGAAUUGGCUUAAAUCAAAUGUUUUGCAGUUCCAUUUACAGAGCAUUUACUGGCCAUCGUGUACUACUCAAGUUACUAGAACACUAAGUUGACUCAUGCUUGGAAAUACUGGUUUUAUGUUGCUAUCAGAGUAUUGUCAUAAAUCCACCCACAAUUACAAAGAGUCCUACUCUGCUGCUGUAGCUACCUUUAACUCCUUGCCCUCAGCAAAUUGUAUGCCUAGGGAGAUGGACUACUUCGGCCUUGAGAAAUUUCCAAUUAGGUCAUUUUGAGAAGCAGUCUGGAUGUGUGGUCUGAAAUAGCAUUUCCAGUUUUUGCCUAUUUUUAUUUUUGAGAACUGCUUGCAAAUAAAUGCCACUGAGUUUGUUAGGAAGAGGUUACUCUUUACUACCUUUGGGAAUUGUGCCUUACCCUUAGGUUGCACAGCUUCUAUUUUCUGAGUCCCUUCUGAUUUUCUCAUAUGGUUGCUGCAAAUUGCAAAAUCAUUGUAAGCUUCUGUUUCUUCACUAGCAAAAUGAGAAAUAGUAACACACCUAGGGAUUGGGAGGAUGAACUGAGGAAAUAUAGCCAUUGGAUUAUUUUUAUAAGGCCCCUACAAAUUGAUGGCAAAAAAAGACCUGGCCCUUUGAAAGAGCAUCCCAUCUCCUCAAAUGUGUACUAGUGAGUUUACAAGAGGCUAUAAUGACAGCUGAAGUUAUCCUUGUUCAAGUAUAAAUAUGGACUUGGAAAAAUAAGUCAGGAAUCUAUGGAACUGCAUUGAAAACUCAGCUGUGCAUUGCUUAGUCACAUAGGAAACACGGUAAGGAAAUGCAAUGUGAUCAGAUCAGCUUAACCCCUAGAGUGCAAGCUGGAUACGGGAGCAGGGCAGUAAAACCAGGAAAACUGAGGGGAUGGUAGCCUUUUAGGAGAAAAAUAUAAGAGGAAAAACAAAUCUAGGAAAGAAAAAUAUGAAGCAGAGAAAAGGCUGUGAAAAGAAAGAGAAAAAUCAGUCUAAGAAGCCAAGAUAUUUGAGUAGCAGGCAGUGUUUUGAAUGUGCAAUGAUGACAAAUAAUCCCAAAGAUGGAUGUGUGUCACACGCUGGAGAGCAGUGACAGUGAGAAGAUGAGAUGUCUCUAAGGCAGACCUUGGUUUAAAUCUCAAGUCUGUGGCUUAUUAACUUUGCAGUGUCAAGCAACUUACUUCAUUCUUCUGAGACUCAUCUGUAAAAUAUGGAUAAUUACUGUAUUUCUGCACUGUUGUGAAUAUUUUAGUUAAUAUAUGCAUAUUUGUCCCUAGCAAAAUGCAAUGAGUAACAGUUAUUAGUUAGUCUAAAGAGGAAAUAAAGGGAGGGACAACUAAGAGUAAAGUUGUCCACUUUCUACUUCAGCUCUCCCCUCCAAGGGAAAAGGUGAUAUGUUGGUGCUAAGUCUGACUGAAGGCAUCUGGGUCACAUGUACCUAUGAGAGUCCCUGACUAGAAUCUAGUUGUUUCCUGCAAUAAUAUCAUAUGUAUUAGAGCAGGUUGUUCAACAGAGUAAUAUGUGUGGUUAUUUAAAUUUAAACUAAAAGUUAAAAUAUGCUUUGUUUCAAUAGCUACAUUUCAAAUAAUCAACAGCCACAUGGCUGGUAGGCAGCAUACACACACACACACACACACACACACACACACACAUAUAUUUACAUAUAUGCUGUGCAUAUAUAUGCAUAUCUUUGUGUAUGUAUGUGUAUUUCUGUCAUCACAAAAAGUUCUAUUGUCUGACCUUGCUUGACUACGGUGGAUUAUGUGGCCAAAAAAAAAGUAAUUCCGUAAGUCAAGAAAGUGGGCAAAGAUUGAGGAGAGAAAUUAGAAUAGGAAGAUAGGGCUUCUGCUGAGGGAAGCCCUUCUCUUUUUAAAAAAUACCUGAGGUGAUGGCAGUAGAAAGGAGUGCUUAAGAUUAGAAAGGUGAGUUAACCAUAAACUGUGAUGUCUAUGGCCUGGGGCAAGGAUGAAAGGAUUGCAGCCACACUUGAAAUUUGCUCUAGGAGUGGUAUUGUGGUCCCAGAAAACCUAUUACAUGGUGACUAACAUGGAGA